rnacentral:rRNA from 1 species
GACGAACGCUGGCGGCGUGCUUAACACAUGCAAGUCGAACGCUGGAGCACCAACUUGUUGGUGUGGAUGAAUGACGAACGGGAGAGUAAUACGAGAGUAACCUGCCCUUGACUCUGGGAUAAUCCCAGGAAACUGGGUCUAAUACUGGAUGCUACUUGUCACCGCAUGGUGUGUGUGAGUAAAGGAUUUACUGGUCUUGGAUGGUCUCACGGACUAUCACUUUGUUGGGAAGGUAAUGGCUCACCAAGGACACCACAGGUAGGCGACCAGAAAGGGUGACCCGGCACACUGGAACUGACACACUGCCCAUAAUCCUACGGGAGGCAUCCUAGGGGAAUAUUGCACGAUGAGCAAAGGCCUGAGGCAGAGACCCCGCGUGAGGGAUGACGGCCUUCCGAUUAUAGACCUCUUUCCGCAGGGAUCAAUCCUCAAGUGACAGUACCUGCGUAACACGCGACGGCUAACUACCUGCCUACAUCCGCGGUAAUACGUAAGGAGCAAGCGUUGUCCGGAAUUAUUGAGUCUAUGGAGCUCGUAGGCUGUUUGUCGCGUCUGCUGUGAAAAUCCGGGACUUAUCCCCUCGUGUGCUGUGAGUACUGGCAAACUAAAUUGCAGAAAGGGAGACUGGAAUUCCUGGUGUAACGGUGGAAUGCGCAGAUAUCAGGAGGAACACCGAUGCCGAAGGCAGGUCUAUGGGCUGUUACUGACUCUGAGGAGCGAAAGCAUGGGGAGCGAACAGGAUUAGAUACCCUGGUAGUCCAUGCCGAAAACGUUGGGCACUAGGUGUGGGGGACAUUCCACGUUUUCCGCGCCGUAGCUAACGCAAUAAGCGCUCCGCCUGGGGAGUACGUCCGCAAGCAUAAAACUCAAAGGAAUUGACGGGGGCCCGCACAAGCGGCGGAGCAUGCGGAUUAAUUCGAUGCAACGCGAAGAACCUUACCAAGGCUUGACAUAUACCGGAUCGUUCCAGAGAUGGUUCUUCCCCUUCGGGGUCGGCAUACACGGUGGGCACAGGUUGUUGUCACACUCGUGUUGUGAGAGAUUGGCAUAAGUCUCGCACCGAGCGCACCCCUCGUUCCAUGUGGCCAGCACGUGAUGGAGGGGACUCAUGGGAGACUGCCGGGGUCAACUUGGAGGAAGGUGGGGAAGACGUCAAAUCAUCAUGCCCCUUAUGUCUUGGGCUUCCCGCAUGGUACAAUGGCUGGUACAAAGGGGUGCGAUCAUGUGAGGUGGAGCUAAUUCCAAAAAACCGGUUUCAGUUUGGAAUGAGGUUUGCAACUUGGCCUCAAGAAGUUGGAGUCGCUAGUAAUUGCAGAUCAGCCACGCUGCGGUGAAUACGUUCCCGGGCCU